rnacentral:rRNA from 1 species
UACGGAGGGGACUAGCGUUGUUCGGAAUUACUGGGCGUAAAGCGCACGUAGGCGGAUUUGUAAGUCGGGGGGUGAAAUCCCGAGGCUCAACCUCGGAACUGCCUUUGAUACUGCAAAUCUCGAGUCCGGAAGAGGUGAGUGGAAUUCCUAGUGUAGAGGUGAAAUUCGUAGAUAUUAGGAAGAACACCAGUGGCGAAGGCGGCUCACUGGUCCGGUACUGACGCUGAGGCGCGAAAGCGUGGGGAGCAAACAGGG